GUAGUUAGCCGGAGCUUCCUCCUUAGGUACCGUCACUUUCUUCGUUCCUAAGGACAGAGGUUUACAACCCGAAGGCCUUCUUCCCUCACGCGGCGUUGCUGGGUCAGGGUUUCCCCCAUUGCCCAAUAUUCCCCACUGCUGCCUCCCGUAGGAGUCUGGACCGUGUCUCAGUUCCAGUGUGGCCGAUCACCCUCUCAGGUCGGCUACCCAUCGUCGCCUUGGUGAGCCGUUACCUCACCAACUAGCUAAUGGGACGCGAGCCCAUCUACAAGCGAUAAAUCUUUGACCCCUCUAUCAUGCGAUAGCGUGGUCUUAUGCGGUAUUAGCAGUCGUUUCCAACUGUUGUCCCCCUCUUGUAGGCAGGUUGCUCACGCGUUACUCACCCGUCCGCCGCUAGAACACUUUCUGUAUUGCUACUUCCAGUGUCCCCGCUCGACUUGCAUGUGUUAGGCACGCCGCCAGCGUUCGUCCUGAGCCAGGAUCAAACUCUGA
rnacentral:rRNA from 1 species